UUGGAGUCGACAGUAAGCUCUGUAAUUCUUGGUGACGUAUUCCUUCUAAAGGCCUGUAAAACUGAUGAUCUUCUGGGUCGGUUUGUUUCCUCGAUGAGCAACGUAUCGUCGUCCCGGUAACGCUUCUAAUCGAGUUCAAUUGAAACUGUAACUGCUGUUAAUUAUUGCAUUAAUUUAUAGCUCUCCGCUACUUCCUCUUCAAUUCAUUUUCAACGUGUACUAAAUUUUUUUAUAUAUAGAGAGACCCACCGAGGGUUGUUUCCGAUAAAGUGUCAUUGCCUUCUUUCCGUAGCUUACUAUCUCUCUAACGCACAGAUUCUAACAAUGACUAAUUCACAGCUUAUUUUCACUGAGUUGAAGGCAGGGCAGUGUCGUCAGACUGUUGUUGUCACAAGGGUUUUGCGUUUUUUGGGAGGCACAUGAUGUCAAGAAGGGAGAUGAGCCGAUGGGUGUCGAUAUGGUUUUGGUCGAGGAGAAGUCUACUAUUAAUCAUACCUCUAUUAGAGUCCAUCGCCUAAAUACGCACUUCAGAGAAGGGGCCGUUUCUGAGAAAAAAAAUAAUCUUUGCAAAGCUUGCCUCUCGUAUGAAAGCAAGAUUCUCCCUCGAAACCUUUCUCGGGUUGAUUGCUGCUUUAUGGAGAGAUCUCUUGGACAGCUUUAUUCCAGAUCGAUAUGCUGUCUCAGUUUAGACACAUGCACUUGCUUCCUUUAAUCUGAAACUGCAAUGAGGAACAUCAAGAUGAUCAUGGUGGGCGAGUAUAUGGAAGAGGGAACGCUUAAGAACAUAUGUAUGACUUGGAUAACCCAAGGUGAGCUGCAGACAUAAGCUGGAGAUAUGCGUUGGUGCAGCUAGAGGGGAUCACUAUCUCCAUACAGGUUCCGCAAGAGCCAUCAUACACAGCGAUGUGAAGUAUGCUAAGUGCUAACAUUUUCUUGGAUGAAAACUUCAGGGCCAAAGUUGCAGAAUUUGGAUUGUCUCAGACUGGUCCGUAUCUUGACCAGACACAUAUGAGUACGACGGUGAAAGGAAGCUUUGCUUAUCUUGAUCCAGAGUACUUGACCAGACAACAACUGACUGGACCAGUCAUUUUUGUGAUGUGAUUCUUAAGGUACUAUGUGGGAUACCAGUCAUUGAUCCAUAUAUUUCAAGAGAGAAAGUGAAUUGAUCGAAUGUGCCACAAAGUUGGUGAAGAAAGCGAAGGAUUGAGAGGCCAAGAAUGGGAAGUUAUUUUGGAACCUAGAGUUUAUGCUUCAGGUCCAAGUGAAAGACGAUGAAACAGGAAUAUUGCAUGCUUAUCCAAAGGCUAGCAUUGUGGGAUCAAUGGUGGAUUUUAGUGUGGAUCGAAUUGGAUAUUUGGCAAGGUGUCUCAAUGAGUUAAGUUUUGUGGAAAGAAAAGACACUAGAUAAAAAAAGAUCAAAUAAGAGUAUCUAAAUUACUAUAGUGUUGUUUGUACAAGAGGGAGGAGAGACCACAUUACUUUUUUAU